rnacentral:tRNA from 1 species
GGGCCGUUAGCUCAGCGGGAGAGCGCUGCCUUCACACGGCAGAAGCCACUGGUUCGAACCCAGUACGGCCCACCA